rnacentral:rRNA from 1 species
GAUUUUCCGGUUGAUCCUGCCGGAGGCUCUGCUAUCGGGGUCCGACUAAGCCAUGCGAGUUGAGAGGGUAAGCCCUCGGCAUAUUGCUCAGUAACACGCGGAUAACCUGCCCUUGGGUUCGGGAUAACCCCGGGAAACUGGGACUAAUACCGGAUAGAUCACAGAUACUGGAAUGUUCUAUGGUCAAAAACUCUGGUGCCCAAGGAUGGGUCUGCGGCCUAUCAGGUAGUAGUGGGUGUAACGUACCUACUAGCCUUCGACGGGUAAGGGUUGUGAGAGCAAGAGCCCUGAGAUGGAUUCUGAGACAUGAAUCCAGGCCCUACAGGGUGCAGCAGGCGCGAAAACUUUACAAUGCGGGAAACCGCGAUAAGGGGACCCCGAGUGCCAGCACCUAGUGCUGGCUGUCCAGCUGUCCAAAUAACAGUUGUUAGCAAGGGCCGGGCAAGACCGGUGCCAGCCGCCGCGGUAACACCGGCGGCCCGAGUGGUAGCCGUUAUUAUUGGGUUUAAAGGGUCCGUAGCCGGCCUAUUAAGUCCCUUGGGAAAUCUGGCGGCUCAAUCGUCAGGCGUCCAAGAGAUACUGGUAGGCUUGGGACCGGGAGAGGUGGGAGGCCUCCAGGGGUACGGGUGAAAUCUCGUAAUCCUUGGGGGACACCGAUGGCGAAG